rnacentral:rRNA from 1 species
UUCGAUUCUGGCUCAGAUUGAACGCUGGCGGGAUGCUUUACACAUGCAAGUCGAACGGCGGCACGGACUUCAGUCUGGUGGCGAGUGGCGAACGGGUGAGUAAUGUAUCGGAGACGUGCCCUAGUAGCGGGGGAUAACUACGCGAAAGCGUAGCUAAUACCAUCGCCCUUCGGGGAAAGCGGGGGACCUUCCCGGGCCUCGCACUAUUAGAGCGGCCGAUAUCGGAUUGGCUAGUUGGUGGAGUAACGGCUCACCAAGGCGACGAUCCGUAGCUGGUUCCCGAGAGGACGACCAGCCACACUGGGACUGGGGAACACGGCCCAGACUCCUACGGGAGGGCAGCAGUGGGGAAUUUUGGACAAUGGGGAAACCCUGAUCCAGCCAUCCCGCGUGUGCGAUGAAGGCCUUCGGGUUGUAAAGCACUUUUGGCAGAAAGAAACGGCACGGGAUAAUACCCCGUGCAACUGACGAACACCUGCAGAAUAAGCACCGGCUAACUACGUGCCAACAACCCAUGAUAAUACGUAAGUGCAAGCGUUAAUCAAGAUUUACUGGGCGUAAAGCGUGCGCAGGCGGUUCGGAAAGAAAGAUGUGAAAUCCCGAGCUUAACUUCAGAGCUGCAUUUUUAACUGCCGAGCUAGAGUGUGUCAGGAGGUGGGUCCGCGUCUUAGCAGUGAAAUGCGUAGAUAUGCGGAGGAACACCGAUAGCGAAGGCAGCCUCCUGGGAUAACGCUGACGCUCAUGCACGAAAGCGUGGGAGCAAACAGGAUUAGAUACCCUGGUAGUCCACGCCUAACAAUGUGUAUCAACGUAACUGGAUACUUCAGACACAAGGUAUAACUGCCAUUCAACACGAGUUGAUGACCUCUAAGGAAGAUUGAUGCAAGUAAAACUCAAAGGAUUGACGGGGAUUGCACAAGCGGUGGAAGUGAUGUGAGAUUCAAUUCGGUGCAUGCGAAAAACCGCCACCUGGUCAUGUCCGAAUCCGAAGGACUGGAGAUGUCAAAGAACCGAACGCAGGUUUUUACCGUAACGUCGUAUCUCGUCAUUUUGAGAUGUGAGAUCGUCCGCAACGAGCGCAACCUGUCAUUAGUUGCUACGAGGCACUCCUAAUGGGGCCCCGCGGUGACAAACCGGAGGAGAGGUGGGGAUGACGUCAAGUCCUCAUGGCCCUUAUGGGUGAGGCUUCACGUCAUACAAUGGUCGGGACAGAGGUGCGCCAGCCCGCGAGGGGAACCAAUCCCAGAAACCCGAUCGUAGUCCGGAUCGCAGUCUGCAACUCGACUGCGUGAAGUCAGAAUCGCCAGUAAUCGCGGAUCAGCAUAUCGCGGUGAAUACGUUCCCGGGUCUUGUACACACCGCCCGUCACACCAUGGGAGUGGGUUUACCCAAGUAGUUAGCCUAACCGUAAGGAGGGCGAUUACCACGGUAGGAUUCAUGACUGGGGUGAAGUCGUAACAAAGGUAA